rnacentral:lncRNA from 1 species
AACUUGAUUGUCUCUACAUUUUGGCUGCCUGUCUCUGUCCUUGCACUCUCUCUCGUUAUCUCUGUGCCUUACUUUUCUGAUUUGCUACAGCGCUUUAUACUGAUGAAAUUGGGUGCAACUUUGAUCAAUUUUCUUGUUACGUAUCUAUAUUUUUUUAUCUUAGGGCACUUCUUCAGUUUGUCAGAAUUCAUUUAAUCCGUUAUUGCUUAUCACAUCUUUGCUAGUUUUACCUUCCGUUUAUGUUUUUUUUUUUAGAUCAUAUUGAGUUAGGAACACCUGUAAUUCUUUGACAGUGCAUACAUUGUUGGAACCUUGACGGCGUAGUUUUGGCUAUCCAUUCUAUCUAUGGUUUUCUGUAUGAGUUUUGGAACAUCGUGAAACCUGUAGACACCCCAUUUUGGUUGGUCAUAAUAUCUGAACCCAUUGUUUGGAUCAUUGCCUGAGGAUGAAGAAGUUAUGAUUAAUUUUGCAGAUAAGCGACCUCAACGUACCUAUCUAUGUUUCUUUAUUUUAAGGAUAGGAGAUUAGGGGUAUUUUGGGAAAGAAUAUAUUUUUUCAACUCAGAUUUUACAGAAAAUUUCAAAAUAUUUGUUCGUUUUACUUUUAAAAUUUUUUAAGAAUAUGAUAUCUAUUUUUCUUUUAUUUUUAUUGCAAGCCAAAGGAUCUAAAUGUUUUUAAAAAUUGUUAUUGGCCCAAGUUUUUGUUUAAUCUCCAUUAAUUUUCAUCCAAAGUUUUUAUUUUAAGAGCCCUCUUUGUUUUAAACCCAAUCUAUUCUUUUUUAAGCCCAAAAAUCGAUUUUAUAGUCUAGACACUUUUUAGGGCCCACAUACCCAUUAUUUGAUUUUAACCCAAUGCACUUUUUGAUCUAAAAAGCUAUUUAUUAGCUUAAAACCCUAAGCCCAAACCAACCCAGCCAAAUGAGUUCAUCCCACCGACUAGACCAAAGGCAACCAUACUUCUGACAGCAGUAUCGGUUUGGUUAUAGUGCCAACCGGCAUUUUUUGUUUGGUGACUUGGUCCUGAGAACCGGACCACAGGUAGUGGUUUUAUUUACCGUUUUAUUUAUUUUUCAUCUUCAGGAAAAGAAAUUUGAAAUGUAAUAGCCUUAUAACCCUCCCCAAAGACUUUCCUUAUAAAAAAUUCCCGUUUUUCUUGCCCUAGCUGCCCUAUGAGUAAAUACCCCCUUCUCUUAUUCUCAUUGACACAAAAAGCUUAGAGAUAGAGGGAAGAAAAGCAAGAAAGGCUCAGAAAUUUUGAGAGAAAAGAAAGUGUGAGAAUUUGUUUUGGAGUAGUAAAAUAGUGAGAGAAGCAGCAAAAAGAGUUAUAUUCUAGUUUUGAGAGAAAAAAAAAGAGUUUUUAGUUUUUAGGGUUCUUUCGAAGCUUUCCGAAGUCCCAGGAGGUAUUGUCACUAGUCAAGAUCGAUCCUGAGGGUGCGGGCGCGAGAAACGAGCCAACAGUGGGAGCUUAUCAAUUCGAGUUGCAUAUCAAGGUAUAUUCUUUUUUUCUUAUUUUUUUAUCUUCUCUAGGUUGGUGCAAAACUUUAGUGGAGGACAAAAUGAUUUGCCAUGUAAUUUUUUGUAUUUUUGGAGACAAAUAAUAGGCCUAAAAUUCUAGUUUUUGUGAUGCCUUUUAUUGUUAUUUUUUGUACUCGCAUGUUUUAAUUAUGUUGAACUGUUCAGCAAUCAUAUUGGGCUUAAAUAUUAUUUAAAAAUAAAUCAAAGGAUGUUGAGUGGUCUAUCCAUGUGGUUAGGCCGAGUGGGGGCCUAACACCUUCCCAUUCGGUACCAUAGCCCCAGACCCUCUUGGAGAUGAAAGGGAUUGUGCCUUUCCACGUAGUCCGUAUAUAAUAUGGUUUUCUAAGACAAUAACUAGGUGGCGACUCCAAUGGGAGUAUAUAAUCUUAGCCGUCUGCCAAACGGGAAUUGAGGAAAAAGCUAAGUAAUUAUAGAUCGUUGGUCUUCCGCGAUGAAUGUAUAUUAAUGUAAUCGGUUUUCCUCCUCAAGUGUGUUUUUAAAAGGAAAGAAUAAAAAUGCUUUUGAGCCGUGGUGUUCAAAAACCCCUGUUUGAUCUUACCUCCUACAUUACAAUUCUGGUUGCCAUUCUAAAUGUGCUAAGAAAGAAGUCCCCAGCUUCUCCAGUUCUUUAUUGGAUUUGUAUGGAUCAUUAUUUCCAUUGUGUAUUUUGGCUAUACUUACUGCAUGAUUUGUUUCCCUUAUGCUAAAUUAAAGUUUCCCCAAAAAAAUCUAUUUCAAAUCUAUUUUUCAUUAUAUUAUCAACAAAGUCCUUGUAUGAAGAUCCAUCUGAGGUGUCUGUUUACUAGACUUUUGGAACUUUCGAGUUCUUUUGUUCCAAUUCCUUUUCUUUCUAUUCCAAUCUGGUUCAGUGUAUUCAUUUCUCUCGUUGGCAAGUCAACAGAACAUGCGUGGAUUAUUACUGAGACUUGUGCGAUCAUUGUUGCAGGGUUUCAGUGUGAUAGGGUGCCCAGGUUUUUUUGACAGAUUUCCAGCUUAUUGAUCAAAGCAAAGGAUCCUCUUCAGUUGUUCAGAACAUUGGAGUUAAUAACUUGGGGUUUCUCUCUCAGUUGGAAUAUAAUGCGUAUGAUUUGAAUCAAAAUCUUGAGCAGAAUAUCUCUGGUUUUGAUGGUACGGGUCUGUAUGGGGAUGAUGCUAUGAAUCAUAUAUCUGGCUAUUUUGCCAAAACAUCUGUCCUCACUUCUGCUUCUUGGGCCCAAAUGUGCCUUGGGAUUGCCUAGGGCCCUGCUCAGGAUUGGAUUGGUGUAAAGACUCUUGCCAGAGAGUCAUGCCAGCCCUGCAUUGAAUGGAAGGGCCACAUGGUAGACUCCAGUCUGCGACUGGGGGCAUCGGCCAUGAAGGAUGGACGCUUUUUUGCGUCUCAGUGCAAAAGCACAGGGAAAAGAUGUUGGUCUUCCAGAGUUGAGGGGGCUUUUUUUUUUUGCAACUUCAAGUCACCAUGGGAUGCUCUGGUAAGUUUUUGUCUCCUUCUGCAUCUUAUACGCCUCCUCCCAAUUUGUUUCUCCCUUUUGGAGAAUCCAACUAGUAAAGAGUUGAAGACGCUCCGUAAAAGUUCCAACUUCCAAGAUACCCUUCUAACCCCCCCCAAUUUGAAAUGCCUAAAAGUGAAAAAUGGAUCUGUCACAUCAAUUCGAAGUGUGGGGGGUUGGAUAGUUGACUCUGAAAGUCACAAAUAUGUGGGACCUUCAAAAAGGGAAAAGUGGUAAAUAAAUGGGGACAGAGUGAGUAUGUUUUUUUGCUUCUAUUCUCAAGUUUUGUAGACCUUGUGUUACCAUUAUUGUUCACGAUGCUAUUGCCAGAGCAUCUUUGAUCUUACUGUCCUUGAGGGUGAAACAAUUAGGGAGUGGCUCUUUUUGACAAGCCUCGAAGGGCUUUGAGGAGUGGGAUAGAAAGCAACGAUCAAUGCCGAUUAUAAUGGACGCGGCUGGCACGAGUUCACAAGGAAGCAGUGAUGAAUGAAUAUGGAGGGUGAAGAGAUCUUAUUAUAUGGACCCACAACCGAGGAAAGACUUUGAAUGGCACCUUUAUGAAUAUGUGAAAUCAAUAACUGUGAUGCUCUGCCUUGUAGCGGUUGGAAUUUAAGCUUGUUGAUGGGAAGAAGAGUACAAAAGGAAAAACAACAAACGGACCAGUAGCUGAUCUGCAGAAACAGUUGGGAAGGUCACUGCUGAAGUUUCCCCAGACAAACAAGCGAUAUGUGAAGGGACAAGGGAAAGGCGACAUCAAAGGAGGGGGGUUGAAAUAUUAUUCUGCUCCAACCGAAUGGAACCUGCAACUGAAGGGUUUAACUAGGAAACAGGUGCAUCCUAUGGAUUUAUCUGUUGACAAUAUGAAUGGCUAUGAAAUUGACGUAGUUAAAGAAGCUCGGAUGCAGAAGGCACAAGCGGCAUCUUGUCGUCUAGUAUAUAUAACACAAAUUGUUUUUUCUUUCUUUAGCCUUGGGCAAUGUUGCCUCAACGUUUUCUCAUUCCGUAUCCUCUGGUCUUCGGCUCUACGCAAUACGACCUUGUUUAGCACACAGGACUUUUGUGAAUAUUUAAUUCUUAUCGAGCGCAUUGCUAGAUCAGCAUAUGUGGGUGCUGGAGCUUAUUCUAACUGCUAUAACAUGUCUUACAGCUUGGCGAUUGCCAAAAAGUGAAGGUAAGAUUACUCCAUUUUCUUAACCAUUGGGUUACGGUGAACAAUAAUAAACCACGUGUUACAGAAUUGUUAUGUGAGUCCACCAAAUGUAACAUAUCCCAUGUUCGGGUUUUAAGACUUCCAUAUUGGGUUGGGGGGUGGGGGGUGGUCGUAGUAGCAUAUGUAACAUUUGUUGCUUGGUAUACAAGUUAUCUGGGUUGUGUUGGUUAUCAUCGAAUGUGCCAUGAUAUUAUUGCAAUUUUUAUAUUUGACAGUUUGGUGCUUUCACGGUUCACCGAUAAGUUUUCUCUAUUUUCUGCUCUCGUACGAGGUUGAGUUGGAUUUAUAUUCUGCUCUAAAUUGCAAUGAAUUAGCUGAUAUUUUGUUAUGAAUUGAUGUUUUUGGUACACUUCCCAGCGAUCAAAAAUCUUGGUAAUUAAAAAUGGAGAUUCCUAAUUUCGAAUACAAUCGACAGUCUUCCCAGCGUAUUACGCCACAUUGGCCCUGGAUUUGUGAAUUUGGACUGGAAAUUUCAUUUCUGCGACACUUUCUGGUCAAAACUUGAUUUUCCAAAUUUUGCACGACAAAAAAACCGGGAGUCUAUAGGAAAUUAUUGCGUGUUCCCGAAGUAAUGUCUAACAGGUCUAUAAUCAUACAAUCAUGGCCGUAUCCUCCAUAACCUGAGGUGUCUGCAAACCAACGAAGUUGUACUGGUGGUUGUACUAACUUCUUUCUCAGCUGGAUGUCUGAUACACACCUUUAAAAGGUGUGCAUUCUGAUGCUAUUUAAAUACUUAAUGCAGUUCUCAAGGUCAUAUCUUUGUUGCAAGUACAAUGAGAAUAAAUGCAG